rnacentral:rRNA from 1 species
GUCUUUUUGAUCAUAAUAUAAAGUCUGACCUGCCCAAUGAAAAUUUAAAUGGCCGCGGUAUUUUGACCGUGCAAAGGUAGCAUAAUAAUUAGUUUUUUAAUUGAAAGCUGGAAUGAAUGGUUGGACGAGAAAAUAACUGUCUCAUAUUAAUUUAAUUAGAAUUUUAUUUUUAAGUAAAAAAGCUUAAAUUUUUUUAAAAGACGAGAAGACCCUAUAGAGCUUUAUAUAUUUAUAAUUAAAUUUAAUGUAGAAUUUUAGUAUUUUUAUUUUUAAAUGUAUUUUAUUGGGGUGAUAAAAAAAUUAAUAAAACUUUUUUUUUAUAAUAACAUUGAUUUAUGAAUAAUUGAUCCAUUUUUUAUGAUUAAAAGAUUAAGUUACCUUAGGGAUAACAGCGUAAUUUUUUUUUAGAGUUCUUAUCGAAAAAAGAGAUUGCGACCUCGAUGUUGGAUUAAAAUUAAUGUUUGGUGUAGAGGCUAGACAAUUAGGUCUGUUCGACCUUUAAAAUUUUACAUGAUCUGAGUUUAAACCGGUGUAAGCCAGGUUGGUUUCUAUCUUUAAAUAAUUAAAAUAUUUUAGUACGAAAGGACCAAAUAUUUAUAAAAUUUAUUAAACUUUGAAUAAUAUUAG